UACAGAGGGUGCGAGCGUUGUCCGGAAUCACUGGGCGUAAAGGGCGCGUAGGUGGUGACCUAAGCGUGCGGUGAAAGCCCGAGGCUCAACCUCGGGUCGGCCGUGCGAACUGGGUCACUGGAGCAGAAUAGAGGCAGGUGGAAUUCCGGGUGUAGCGGUGGAAUGCGUAGAGAUCCGGAAGAACACCGGUGGCGAAGGCGGCCUGCUGGGUUCUGGCUGACACUGAGGCGCGACGAGCGUGGGGAGCAAACAGG
rnacentral:rRNA from 1 species